rnacentral:rRNA from 1 species
GACGAACGCUGGCGGCGUGCCUAAUACAUGCAAGUCGAGCGCAGGAAAUCGACGGAACCCUUCGGGGGGAAGUCGAUGGAAUGAGCGGCGGACGGGUGAGUAACACGUAAAGAACCUGCCCUCAGGUCUGGGAUAACCACGAGAAAUCGGGGCUAAUACCGGAUGGGUCAUCGGACCGCAUGGUCCGAGGAUGAAAGGCGCUCCGGCGUCGCCUGGGGAUGGCUUUGCGGUGCAUUAGCUAGUUGGUGGGGUAAUGGCCCACCAAGGCGACGAUGCAUAGCCGACCGGAGAGGGUGAUCGGCCACCCUGGGACUGAGACACGGCCCAGACUCCUACGGGAGGCAGGAGUAGGGAAUCUUCCACAAUGGACGAAAGUCUGAUGGAGCAACGCCGCGUGAACGAUGAAGGCCUUCGGGUCGCAAAGUUCUGUUGUAAGGGAAGAACAAGUGCCGCAGGCAAUGGCGGCACCUUGACGGUACCUUGCGAGAAAGCCACGGCUAACUACGUGCCAGCAGCCGCCGUAAAAC